GCGCCCGUAGCUCAGCCGGAUAGAGCACAGGAUUCCUAAUCCUGGGGUCGGGGGUUCAAAUCCCUCCGGGCGCACCA
rnacentral:tRNA from 1 species